rnacentral:lncRNA from 1 species
AGAAUAUUUGCAUAUUAAGACCAUGAAUACAGGUAGUGCUGCUGCCAUAAUAAUUCUGGCUUUUACUUGUUCUUCUUUCUUAUGGUAUUUAGUCCGUAACUGGAACUCACGGCGACCAAGUGAUCAAUCUCGAAGAAGAACAAGAGAUAGGAACAUGGUCGUUUUAGAAGAAGCCGGUGCUGGUGUUGCUGCUGCUGAUGCUGUUGCUGCAACGUCAGUUGCAGCAAACAGCAACGGUACUGAUUAUUAGCGUAAGCGUGGUGAGGUAACUAUUGACUUAGGAGCAGCUUCUGAGGCCACUGCUAAUGCAUCACAAGGUUGUUGCUGUGGUGGUGGCGGUUGUGGUGGUGAUGACGGUGGUGGUUGUGUGGUUGCAGUGGAGACUAAAAGCCUU